rnacentral:rRNA from 1 species
GAGCACCUACGGGAGGCAGCAGUGGGGAAUAUUGGGCAAUGGGCGCAAGCCUGACCCAGCAACGCCGCGUGAAGGAAGAAGGCUUUCGGGUUGUAAACUUCUUUUAAGAGGGAAGAGUAGAAGACGGUACCUCUUGAAUAAGCCACGGCUAACUACGUGCCAGCAGCCGCGGUAAUACGUAGGUGGCAAGCGUUGUCCGGAUUUACUGGGCGUAAAGGGCGUGUAGGCGGGGAAGCAAGUCAGAUGUGAAAACCACGGGCUCAACCUGUGGCCUGCAUUUGAAACUGUUUUUCUUGAGUGCUGGG